rnacentral:rRNA from 1 species
CAUGCAGCCGAGCGGUAUAGUAUCUUCGGAUUUUAGAGAGCGGCGUACGGGUGCGUAACACGUGUGCAACCUACCUUUAUCAGGAGGAUAGCCUUUCGAAAGGAAGAUUAAUACUCCAUAAUAUAUUAGAUGGCAUCAUUUAAUAUUGAAAACUCCGGUGGAUAGAGAUGGGCACGCGCAAGAUUAGAUAGUUGGUGAGGUAACGGCUCACCAAGUCAUUGAUCUUUAGGGGUCCUGAGAGGGAGAUCCCCCACACUGGUACUGAGACACGGACCAGACUCCUACGGGAGGCAGCAGUGAGGAAUAUUGGACAAUGGGUGAGAGCCUGAUCCAGCCAUCCCGCGUGAAGGAUGACGGUCCUACGGAUUGUAAACUUCUUUUGUAUAGGGAUAAACCCAGAUACGUGUAUCUGGCUGAAGGUACUAUACGAAUAAGCACCGGCUAACUCCGUGCCAGCAGCCGCGGUAAUACGGAGGGUGCAAGCGUUAUCCGGAUUUAUUGGGUUUAAAGGGUCCGCAGGCGGGCCGAUAAGUCAGUGGUGAAAUCUCAUAGCUUAACUAUGAAACUGCCAUUGAUACUGUCGGUCUUGAGUAAAUUAGAGGUAGCUGGAAUAAGUAGUGUAGCGGUGAAAUGCAUAGAUAUUACUUAGAACACCAAUUGCGAAGGCAGGUUACCAUGAUUUAACUGACGCUGAGGGACGAAAGCGUGGGGAGCGAACAGGAUUAGAUACCCUGGUAGUCCACGCCGUAAACGAUGCUAACUCGUUUUUGGGGCGCAAGCUUCAGAGACCAAGCGAAAGUGAUAAGUUAGCCACCUGGGGAGUACGUUCGCAAGAAUGAAACUCAAAGGAAUUGACGGGGGCCCGCACAAGCGGUGGAUUAUGUGGUUUAAUUCGAUGAUACGCGAGGAACCUUACCAAGACUUAAAUGGGAAAUGACAGGUUUAGAAAUAGAUCCUUCUUCGGACAUUUUUCAAGGUGCUGCAUGGUUGUCGUCAGCUCGUGCCGUGAGGUGUUAGGUUAAGUCCUGCAACGAGCGCAACCCCUGUCACUAGUUGCUAACAUUCAGUUGAGGACUCUAGUGAGACUGCCUACGCAAGUAGAGAGGAAGGUGGGGAUGACGUCAAAUCAUCACGGCCCUUACGUCUUGGGCCACACACGUAAUACAAUGGCCGGUACAGAGGGCAGCUACACAGCGAUGUGAUGCAAAUCUCGAAAGCCGGUCUCAGUUCGGAUUGGAGUCUGCAACUCGACUCUAUGAAGCUGGAAUCGCUAGUAAUCGCGCAUCAGCCAUGGCGCGGUGAAUACGUUCCCGGGCCUUGUACACACCGCCCGUCAAGCCAUGGAAGUCUGGGGUACCUGAAGUCGGUGACCGUAAAAGGAGC